GAUGAACGCUGGCGGCGUGCCUAAUACAUGCAAGUCGAGCGAACAGACGAGGAGCUUGCUCCUCUGACGUUAGCGGCGGACGGGUGUGUAACACGUGGAUAACCUACCUAUAAGACUGGGAUAACUUCGGGAAACCGGAGCUAAUACCGGAUAAUAUAUUGAACCGCAUGGUUCAAUAGUGAAAGACGGUUUUGCUGUCACUUAUAGAUGGAUCCGCGCCGCAGUAGCUAGUUGGUAAGGUAACGGCUUACCAAGGCAACGAGGCGUAGCCGAGCUGAGAGGGUGAUCGCCCACACUGGAACUGAGACACGGUCCAGACUCCUACGGGAGGCAGCAGUAGGGAAUCUUCCGCAAUGGGCGAAAGCUUGACGGAGCAACGCCGCGUGAGUGAUGAAGGUCUUCGGAUCGUAAAACUCUGUUAUUAGGGAAGAACAAAUGCGUAAGUAACUAUGCACGUCUUGACGGUACCUAAUCAGAAAGCCACGGCUAACUACGUG
rnacentral:rRNA from 1 species